AGCCUACUACAUUUAAAAAAAAAAAAAAAAAAGUGUGGCAGUUACCUAUUGCUGCAUAACAAACCAUCCCAAAGCAUGUGGCUUAAAAUAGCAGUCAUGUAUUAUUUCUCACAGUGCUGAGACGGCUGUAUGGUUCUCCUGAGGUUUUGCCUGGUCUCGUUCAUGCUGUAUGCUCGGCUGAAAAGCUGGCUGGGCUAGAAGAUCCUAGAUGACCUCACACACACUACCUUUACUAUAGGUUAUGACAUAUAAUUAUCAUUUAAACAAGAGAAAUGGCCCUUUCAAAAUGGUUCUUGUAUACUAGAAAGAUAAACGAUCUGUGUUUUCUUUAUUUUACAAAAUAUAAGAAAUAUAGCAAUUAGGAAAACCUUACCAAUGCACUCAGGGUCUGAAAGCUGUGGGAAACAAAGCAAUCACCUUGGUGCUUUCUCUGCUUUUAGAAAGAAACUUUUGCCUUUUGUAUAAGGGUUUUUCCAUUGUUUCAAGGUUUUAUUUACUUACGUAUAAUUCAACUAAUAGAAUUGUUGACUCUCUUAGAAGUUAAGGUAGUUUGCCGGGUGCAGUGGCUCAUGCCUAUAA
rnacentral:lncRNA from 1 species